rnacentral:rRNA from 1 species
GAUGAACGCUAGCGGCAGGCUUAACACAUGCAAGUCGAGGGGCAGCGGGGUCUUCGGACCGCCGGCGACCGGCGCACGGGUGCGUAACGCGUAUGCAACCUACCUAUAACAGGGGGAUAAUCCGGAGAAAUCUGGUCUAAUACCCCAUAACACUACGAACGGCAUCGUUUGAAGUUGAAAUUUUCGGAGGUUAUAGAUGGGCAUGCGUGACAUUAGCUAGAUGGUGAGGUAACGGCUCACCAUGGCAACGAUGUCUAGGGGGACUGAGAGGUUAACCCCCCACACUGGUACUGAGACACGGACCAGACUCCUACGGGAGGCAGCAGUGAGGAAUAUUGGUCAAUGGACGGAAGUCUGAACCAGCCAUGCCGCGUGCAGGAUGACGGCUCUAUGAGUUGUAAACUGCUUUUGUAUAGGGGUAAAAGUAGAUACGUGUAUCUAUCUGAAAGUACUAUACGAAUAAGGAUCGGCUAACUCCGUGCCAGCAGCCGCCGUAACAC